rnacentral:rRNA from 1 species
UACGUAGGGACCAAGCGUUGUCCGGAAUCAUUGGGCGUAAAGCGCGCGUAGGUGGCCAUUUAAGUCCGCUGUGAAAGUCAGAGGCUCAACCUUUGAAAGCCGGUGGAUACUGGAUGGCUAGAGUACGGAAGAGGCGAGUGGAAUUCCUGGUGUAGCGGUGGAAUGCGCAGAUAUCAGGAGGAACACCGAUGGCGAAGGCAGGUCUCUGGGCCGAUACUGACGCUGAGGAGCGAAAGCGUGGGGGAGCGAACAGG